GGGGUGGAGUCGGAAAGGCCCGUUAAUUGAAGGGGUUGGGUUUGGCUCUUUGGGGACGCUCCCUAGGCGAAGUCUUGCUAAAGUCAGUUCCGCUUCUUUUCUUUGCUGUCGUUCGAGUUGGCUCUCUUGAGUUCGAAGAGCAGCCGCUUCCUCCUCCUCCUUUUCCCCCUUUCUCUCCGCCAGAGCCGUGCCGAUCCCAUUAACGUAAUUACAACAGACAUGUUUGUGGUCGGCGAUGGGGGAAAGACAGAAGCAGUCAAGAGGCCGAAAGUCCAUGUGUCUGGAAGGAAGAGCUCCUUAUCUAAGCAGCAUCCGCCUCGGGUGUGAUAGCCGCGUGUUUUGAGGGCCUUUAUUUGUUUUUUCCCGAUCCUUGUCAUGACCAUGCAGUUUUUUCCUCGGAUGCCCUCCGAAAAGUGCUGGAUCGCAGGACCAUCGUCCUCACCCAACAUGGCUGGCUGAAGCUGCGAAUGGCCGCUAAAUGAGGCACUUUCUAAAAAAGGAGCAUUCUAUGACAAAAUACUGAAAAAAAAGAAAAGUGAGAAAAGAGAGGAUAGGGAAGAGGAAAAGUAUUCCUUCACAAUAGGAAGAAAUUGGAGAAGACUUGACAAGGUACCAGUUGAAGGAAAAAAUUGCGAAAGAGAGCAGAAUUAAAAUCGGAGCAGUGCUUAAAAAAACAGGACAAUUACAGAGCCAUAAAUUGCAACGUCAGUAGCUUAUCAACCUCCAGGAGUCCCAGGGUAUAAUAAUUGUACUGAAAGCUGGAGUCAAAGGCUUGGAAGAGGAUCAGAAGCUGCACCGGACCCCAGCAGAUGGUGAAAAGAGCAAUGAUGAUGGCCACCAUACGAGAGAUCUUGGCUCGCAAAGCUUCAGAGAAUUCUGACAGCUGCUGUACCUAUAUUGGGGCACAGAAAGGAGGGAGAAGAGGUGACCCAAGGAAAAGGAAGUCGCUAAAUCGUGUCCAACUCCCUGCAACCCCAUGGACACAGCAUGCCAGGUGUCCCAUCCUCCACUGCCUCCCAAAGUCUGCCCAAACCUGUCAGACCUGUCCCAGCUUGGGCAUUUAGGAAAGAAAGACCUUCGACUCCAUUCGUAACAACAGGUGUACUUUUACUAAAGCCAAGUGGUUACAGUGUAAGAAAAGCCGGAUCUGAAACUUCCCAGAUGCUUCAAGGGACAGCACAGAUAACUGCAGGAAAAAAAAACCAAACCAGACGGACUUAAACAAUCUUCAUCCAUGGUCAGGAAGAGCAAGAGAGGCUGUAAGGCUCUCCUCCUGUUCUCCUACUGUAUAGUGUUUAGAAAUAGGCUGCUCUUAAACAUGGAGGAUCUAUUGAGCUGUUAGGAACAAUCUAUACACAUUUUCCAUGCCUAUAUUUUUAUCUUGCAACUCCUUCUUGCAAAGGAUAAUAAUGAACUCUAAGCUAGUCUUUCCUAAGUACUGGCAAUUCAACCCUCCCACAGGUGACAAAAGAUGGCCAGGCUAUUGUAUGAAGCCUAGUUAUAUAGGUAGUUCUCAAACCUCAACCACAAUUGACCUCAAAAUUUCCGUUGCUAAGCAAGACAUUUGUUAAGUGAGUUUUGCCCUAUUUUAUGCCCUUUCUUGCCACAACUAUUAAGUGAAUCACUGCAGUUGUUUAAUUAGUAACCCAGUUAAGUGAACCUGGCUUCCGCAUUGACUUUGUUGUAACUUCAAAUGGUCACUAAACAAAUGGUUGUAAGUUUGAGGACUACCUAUACUUGGUUGGGGGACCUGCAAGAAGCCUUAGAGCUGUAGAAGAGCUUGGGAAGUCACACAUAAAGGCAAUGCAAAGUAUUUCCAUUUGGCAGUCCAAAAAAAUACAUAGACUAAUUCAUCCCAUCGCUCGGAUGCAAGUUCAAUAUACGGCAACUUUGUGUUCAGUUAUUUUCCUCUUCACAGUAACUGAUUCCAGCAUUUUCUCAAAAGAAUUUUGCAGAUAAUGUUCCAGGACAAGAAAUCUUUUGCUGGGGUUCCUGGAGAGAUCUAAAAGAAGAUAACUUUCUCCUUUCCCAUUACAGGUAGUUCUCAACUUACAACCAUUUGUUCAGUGAGUGUUUGAAGUCACAAUGGCACUGAAAAAAGUGGCGUAUGACCUUUUUACACUUAUGAC